CUACCCGGGUAUCUAAUCCCUUUCGCUCCCCUGGCUUUCGUCCAUGACGUUAGUAAUGGCCCAGCAAGCGCCUUCCCACUGGUGUUCUUCCCGAUAUCUACGCAUUUCACCGCUACACCGGGAAUUCCCUCUGCCCCUACCAUACUCAAGCCUUUCAGUUUCCCUGCCAUGAGGAUUAAGCUCC
rnacentral:rRNA from 1 species